rnacentral:lncRNA from 1 species
UUAAUACUUGAGAGUGUUAAUUGAACAUAUUUAGAUAUAAAUAUGCAAGAGAUGGCAUUUAUAGUAUGCUGUGGACAAUCCUCUUAAUGUCAUGAUGGGAAAGCCAUCUGUAAAGCCAAGAACAGUUUAUUUUACCCUUUAUUCAGGUUUUUAAUUUAUUUGAAUUUCUGUCUUCUCUUUAUCUCUCUCUACUGUCAAAUAUCAAUUUGUUUUAUUUUUUAAACUUUUAAAAUUGGAAACAGAUUCUUCUCUUAUACAAUACAGCUCACCACAGUUUCCCUCUGUUCACUUCUCCUAGCUCCCCCCAACUACCCCUCUCUCCCACAUUCACUUUAUUUCCUCUUCAGAAAAGGACAAUCUUGACUCAAUCUUAAAUGUUUUCUGAAUGGCGUUCUGUUUUUUUCUUUGUUUAUAAAAUUUUCUUUGGUUUUACUGAGAUAUAGGUUCAAUCUAAGUCACUACACGUAGCACAGGCUAUGCUCAGACUAGUGCCAAUUCUGUUGCAUCUUUCUCUCAAGUGCUAUAUUGACAGGCUUGACCCACCCCAUCUGACUGUGUGUGCAAAGAUGUAUAUUUCUGGGUUUAUAUAUGUUUCUUAUGCUUUUUCUUAAGCUCCUUUUCCUGUUUGUUUUUUGUCAUAUUCUGAUUUUUAUACUACAGAUGUCUAUUUUGUUGAGUUACGAGAGACAGAUAGGGUAUGGAUCUAUAUGGGAGUUUAAUGUGGGAGAAUCAGGGAUGGGAAGGGAGCAGGAAAACUGUAAUCACAACAUAUUGUAUGAAUAAGGCCUAUUCUCAAUAAUAUGUAUGUAUAUUAUAUUCUCUAUGUAUAUUUAUGUAUUAUAUACAUUAUAUAUUAACAUAUUAUAUGGUAUUUCCUUACAUAUAUUCUCAAUUAGAUAUAUGUAUAAAAAGUUUAUAUAUAUAAAAUGUUCAAAAUGACAUAUACACAAACAUACGUUCAAGUGGAUUUCCCUUUGAAAUCGGUGUUUCUUAGUUGUCAUGCGUCUAUUGCUUUUGAGAAGUCUUUCUAUAAACGAAGUCUAGCUUCUAUGCUAACUUGUAAGACUAACUUUUCAUGUCCCUAGCUUUCAUGUCUCUGUUUUAUAAACAUGCCUCUGAAUGUGAAUCUUUUCUAGAACCCUCUACAUAAAGUAAAUUGAUGAAUUCAUGAGCUAGUUAAGAAAACAAUUUCAUUGUUCUUUCCUUUCAAUCUGUCUCUGACUCCUUUUUAAUACUUCUAGAUCUUCGAUUCCAUGCUUGUAUUCACAAUCUUCUGUGCUGUAUACCAUAAUGAUUAUGUGAUUAUUUUAUUAAACAUAGACAAUUUAGAUAAUUGAACAUGCACAUGUAAUUAUAAAAUAAUACAGAAAGAUAGCACAUUAUCUCUUUCAGUACUAACAUCAUAUACAUCUAUCUUGCAGUGUGACAAAUGGAGCUGUAAGGAAAGUCAAAUAGGUGAUGAUUCUUUUUCUGACUCAUAACAUUAAGAUGAAAGUGAUGAUAAGGAUGAAGAAGUUGAUGUUUUCUGAUAAGCAUGAGAUUUUAGGGUAUAUUUCCUUACAGGGUGAAAUAUGAAAUAUACUUAUUCUCAAAAUUUUAAGAGGCAUAUUAAAGACUCUUGAUAAAUAAAUCUGAGCAGAUUGAACUCACACUCUAAAGCUGAGAAUAUCAUUUUCACUUGCAAGAAGCAGUAAUGUGGGUAAAUGAAAUCCUUUAUCAGCACACAGAUAAGUUUAGUAAACAUACAGCCUCUCUUAAGAGGGACAAGGGGAAGUUUACCUUCACCAUAUAUGACCUGAGUGUGGAUCCUCAGAGCCCAUGUAAAAAUGAAGGUGUAAUGCCUGGAAAGUCAGAGCUUAAGAUGUGGAGAAAGUAGGAUCCUGAGGCUUUCUGAGCAAUCACUGAGCUCCAAAUUCAGUAAGAGACCUUGUCUUAAAAAAUAAGUUGGAUGGGCCAGAGUUGUGGCUCAGUGUGUAAAAGAACUCACUGUUCAGAACUGAGGACCUUUAGCACACAUGGAAAAAGUGAGGCAUGUUUAUACAUACCUAUAACUUAGUGCUGUGGGGCAAAGAGUUAAGAGAGAGUAGAGACAAGAAACCCUCUUGUGCUUGCUGGCCAACAGCUUAUCUGAGAAAACAACGCAUUCUAUGUUCAAUGAGAGAUCCUUGGAAAAAAUUAAAGAAGACAGUUAUAAGGGACAUUUGAUGAUCUCCGUUGUCACGUGCAGAUGUGUGCAUGUAUACCAACACACAUACUCAUGCAUGCACACAUGCUAACCCACACAAUGAAGUGGAAACCAAUUUAAAAAGGUAUGCUGUUGAACUCUGGCCUCCACAUAGCAAACACUCAUGUGUACUUCCUUCACAUGCACACACAAAACAUUUUUUUUCAAAAAUACACAUUUAUAAACAGAAAAAUAUACAUGAGAAGGCAAAAAGGUUUCAUUUGAAAUAUUCAACAAAACAAAAUUAACAAGGGAAAGACAGUGAAUUCAAUAAAUAUUUGAAUACCUUGCCUCAUUUCUAACCUGGACCAGUCUUCAGAGUCCAAAUACAAAAAGUAAAAAGUGCAGAUUUCGACGCAGAAGAGCAUGAAGCACAAGAGAAUUGUUUCAUUGCUUUUAAAAUUUUUUGAUGAGGGUCUCACUUAACCCAGGCUAGCCUCAAGCUUGUACUAUAGCCAAGAGUGACUUUUGCUCCUCCUGUUUCCAUGUCCUCUGUGUUGGAGUUGAAAGAUUUACAUAAUCAUGCCAAGUUUUUCUGAUUUUGGAGACUCAACUUUUUGCCCUGUAUAUGCCAAAGAGACUCUAUACAAUCUAAUGGAUACCUCCAUUUUUAUAUAGAUUCACUGCCAUUUCAGAUCAAAGUACACUGGAAUAAGGGAGUUACAAGGCCAAUUCAAGGGCAAUUGAACAUGGGAGCCAAAGUAACAUUCAUAUCUUGGGACAUAAAUCACCUUAAUCUUCCAUCGAUAUUUAGACUUGGAACUUAUAGGAACAAGAAAAUUGUAAGAAAGUGGGCUGGGGGUAUCUGAAAGUUGACUCAUGUUAUGUGGUAUGUUCACUUGAUCUUGGAGCUCAUCUCACGUAACUUUAGUGAAAGCUGAGUUGUGCACAACAUUCUUCUUUUCGAAAUUCCAAUGU